AGUGAACGCUGGCGGCGUGCUUAAUACAUGCAAGUCGAACGAUGAAGUCCUAGCUUGCUAGGAUGGAUUAGUGGCGCACGGGUGAGUAAUAUAUAGUUAAUCUGCCUUGCACUGAGGAACAACAGUUGGAAACGAUUGCUAAUACCUCAUACUCCAACUUUACAUAAGUUAAGUUGGGAAAGUCUUUUCGGUGCAAGAUGAGACUAUAUCGUAUCAGCUAGUUGGUAAGGUAAUGGCUUACCAAGGCUAUGACGCGUAACUGGUCUGAGAGGAUGAUCAGUCUCAUUGGAACUGAGACACGGUCCAAACUCCUACGGGAGGCAGCAGUAAGGAAUAUUGUGCAAUGGGGGAAACCCUGACGCAGCAACGCCGCGUGGAGGAUGACACUUUUCGGAGCGUAAACUCCUUUUGUUAGGGAAGAAUAAUGACGGUACCUAACGAAUAAGCACCGGCUAACUCCGUG
rnacentral:rRNA from 1 species